GUGCUGACUUUGGCAACACAUGUGCUAAAAUUGGAAUGAUAUGGAGAUUAGCAUGGCCUCUGCACAAGGAUGACAUACAAAUUCAUGAAAUAUUCUAUAUCAAA
rnacentral:snRNA from 1 species